rnacentral:rRNA from 1 species
AGUGAACGCUGGCGGUAGGCCUAACACAUGCAAGUCGAACGGCAGCACAGUAAGAGCUUGCUCUUACGGGUGGCGAGUGGCGGACGGGUGAGGAAUACAUCGGAAUCUACUUUUUCGUGGGGGAUAACGUAGGGAAACUUACGCUAAUACCGCAUACGACCUACGGGUGAAAGCAGGGGAUCUUCGGACCUUGCGCGAUUGAAUGAGCCGAUGUCGGAUUAGCUAGUUGGCGGGGUAAAGGCCCACCAAGGCGACGAUCCGUAGCUGGUCUGAGAGGAUGAUCACCCACACGGGAACUGAGACCCGGUCCAGCCUCCUAGGGGAGGCAGCAGGGGGGAAUAUGGGAAAAUGGGCGCAAGCCUGAUCCAGCCAUACCGGGGGGGGGAAGAAGGCCUUCGGGUUGUAAAGCCUUUUUGUUGGGAAAAAAAAGAAGCAGGUUAAUACCCCGCUGUUCUGACGGGACCCAAAGAAAAAGCACCGGCUAAUUUCGG